GGAUGCGGAAGGAUCAUUACCUAGAGUUGUAGGCUUUGCCUGCUAUCUCUUACCCAUGUCUUUUGAGUACCUUCGUUUCCUCGGCGGGUCCGCCCGCCGAUUGGACAAUUUAAACCAUUUGCAGUUGCAAUCAGCGUCUGAAAAAACUUAAUAGUUACAACUUUCAACAACGGAUCUCUUGGUUCUGGCAUCGAUGAAGAACGCAGCGAAAUGCGAUAAGUAGUGUGAAUUGCAGAAUUCAGUGAAUCAUCGAAUCUUUGAACGCACAUUGCGCCCCUUGGUAUUCCAUGGGGCAUGCCUGUUCGAGCGUCAUUUGUACCUUCAAGCUCUGCUUGGUGUUGGGUGUUUGUCUCGCCUCUGCGCGCAGACUCGCCUCAAAACAAAUUGGCAGCCGGCGUAUUGAUUUCGGAGCGCAGUACAUCUCGCGCUUUGCACUCAGAACGACGACGUCCAAAAGUACAUUUUUACACUCUUGACCUCGGAUCAGGUAGGGAUACCCGCUGAACUUAAGCAUAUCAUGAG
rnacentral:rRNA from 1 species